GAUGAACGCUAGCGACAGGCUUAACACAUGCAAGUCGAGGGGCAUCAUGAGGUAGCAAUACCUUGAUGGCGACCGGCGCACGGGUGAGUAACGCGUAUGCAACCUGCCCGAUACCGGGGUAUAGCCCAUGGAAACGUGGAUUAACACCCCAUAGUACUUUUAUCCUGCCUGGGAUGGGAGUUAAAUGUUCAAGGUAUCGGAUGGGCAUGCGUCCUAUUAGUUAGCUGGCGGGGUAACAGCCCACCAAGACGAUGAUAGGUAGGGGUUCUGAGAGGAAGGUCCCCCACAUUGGAACUGAGACACGGUCCAAACUCCUACGGGAGGCAGCAGUGAGGAAUAUUGGUCAAUGGACGUAAGUCUGAACCAGCCAAGUCGCGUGAGGGAAGACUGCCCUAUGGGUUGUAAACCUCUUUUAUAAGGGAAGAAUAAGUUCUACGUGUAGAAUGAUGCCUGUACCUUAUGAAUAAGCAUCGGCUAACUCCGUGCCAGCAGCCGCCGUAA
rnacentral:rRNA from 1 species